AUGAACGCUGGCGGCGUGCUUCACACCUGCCAGUCGCACGCUGAAGCCCAGCUUGCCGGGUGGAUUAGUGGCGAACGGGUGAGUAACACGUGAGUAACCUGCCCUUAACUCUGGGAUAAGCCUGGGAAACUGGGUCUAAUACCGGAUAGGAGCGUCCACCGCAUGGUGGGUGUUGGAAAGAUUUAUCGGUUUUGGAUGGACUCGCGGCCUAUCAGCUUGUUGGUGAGGUAAUGGCUCACCAAGGCGACGACGGGUAGCCGGCCUGAGAGGGUGACCGGCCACACUGGGACUGAGACACGGCCCAGACUCCUACGGGAGGCAGCAGUGGGGAAUAUUGCACAAUGGGCGCAAGCCUGAUGCAGCGACGCCGCGUGAGGGAUGACGGCCUUCGGGUUGUAAACCUCUUUCAGUAGGGAAGAAGCGAAAGUGACGGUACCUGCAGAAGAAGCACCGGCUAACUACGUG
rnacentral:rRNA from 1 species